rnacentral:rRNA from 1 species
ACUGAAUAGAUACCCGGGUAGUCCACGCCCUAAACGAUGUCAACUGGUUGUUGGGAAUUCAUUUUCUCAGUAAACGAAAGCUAAACGCGUGAAGUUGACCGCCUGGGGAGUACGGCCGCAAGGCUAAAACUCAAAGGAAUUGACGGGGACCCGCACAAGCGGUGGAUGAUGUGGUUUAAUUCGAUGCAACGCGAAAAACCUUACCCACCUUUGACAUGUACGGAACUUGCCAGAGAUGGCUUGGUGCCCGAAAGGGAGCCGUAACACAGGUGCUGCAUGGCUGUCGUCAGCUCGUGUCGUGAGAUGUUGGGUUAAGUCCCGCAACGAGCGCAACCCUUGCCAUUAGUUGCUACGAAAGGGCACUCUAAUGGGACUGCCGGUGACAAACCGGAGGAAGGUGGGGAUGACGUCAAGUCCUCAUGGCCCUUAUAGGUGGGGCUACACACGUCAUACAAUGGCUGGUACAGAGGGUUGCCAACCCGCGAGGGGAGCUAAUCCCACAAAGCCAGUCGUAGUCCGGAUCGCAGUCUGCAACUCGACUGCGUG